rnacentral:rRNA from 1 species
UACGGAGGGUGCGAGCGUUAAUCGGAAUUACUGGGCGUAAAGCGCACGUAGGCGGUCAGGCAAGUCGGGUGUGAAAGCCCUGGGCUCAACCUGGGAAUUGCAUUCGAAACUAUCUGACUCGAGUAUGGGAGAGGGAAGCGGAAUUUCCGGUGUAGCGGUGAAAUGCGUAGAUAUCGGAAGGAACACCAGUGGCGAAGGCGGCUUCCUGGACCAAUACUGACGCUCAUGUGCGAAAGCGUGGGGAGCAAACAGG